rnacentral:sRNA from 1 species
GUGUUUCAUAGAAACACAGGAUAAGAGCCACAUGAAUUAUAGAUUUGUGUGAUUUAAUACACCCACCUCGCAAGCCAUUUUUUGAAUAGCUUGCAAGCGUUGAAAAAGAAAAAAAACACCUUUCCAGAUCGCGGUUUGCCGUUCUAAAUUCAAAAAUGCAUUGCAAUAACGGUACAGUCACGUUUCACGUUUCGACGGCUGGCUGUCGCAUGUCAACGGCUACCUAACGGCUACCUAGCAAUCUCCUAUUAUUUCUGUUCAUUUUAUCCCUUACUUGCGCGAAAUCAAUGAAAUAUGAUCUCCCCGCACGUCAUUCUACUCCCAACAAGAAAAACUUCCAAGAACGAAUCCAAAAACAGCAAAUAAUAAGUGAAGCAUGGAAGGAGAUUGUCAAACGAGCAUGGUACGUGAUAUAUCUUCCCUUCCUCUUAAGACAUGUUUUCGCCCUACCAGCAACAUUUCAUUCGUUAUUUCAAUCGCCAAGAUUCCCCCAAUCUUUCGAUCUCAACCGCCCUCUUCUCAUCUAGCGAGACUCUCCCUGCCUCCAAAAUUGCAGUGGUGACGAUCGUAUUCUUAAUGGUUGGUAAUCCACGAUUAUCCAGCUCUUCGAGCGUCACGCGUCCAUCAUUCAAAGCGCUUACGGCAUCAACAAACUUCUCAAAGCUGAUAUAGCCGUAGCCUGUCUGACCGCCGAAGUUGCCUUUUUCAUCAGGGGCAUAGCGCAUGUAAAACCUGCGAAGGGGCGUCAGCAAGAAAUGAGUCACUUUAGUUUAAAAGACUUGAAAAAAGAAAAAGAAAAAGAGCUUUCUUGUGCUGUUCUGUCUGAUGAGGUUGGCUCUGGAGCGCUGCACAAUAUUCUUUUUUUCGCUUGUUGAUUGGAGGCAGGGGGUGUUUCAAGUGCCAGUGUGUGUUUUCGGGGCGGAGUAGAAUAUGUGCAACUUACGGGUUUAUCCAGGCGACGUUAGCUUGGCUAUCAUCUGUCACAUCAUAGCCACGCUUGGCUUGGUCGAUUCGGAUUUCGCCUUUCGAGCCCAUCCCUGAAGUUUCCAGAUGGUGUUAGUUCUCACCAAUUGCAAAACCCCCUUCCCAAAAGGCUUAUGAUAAAUAUAUAGGAUCGGUCGAGGAAUAGGAUGGCGGGGAACAAGAAAUCAAAAUCAUUCGCCUGAACCCGUACUUACAAUGGAAAUACUGAUUCGAAUGAACCCCAGCCUUUUGUGGCGCCGUCCAACUGGCAGUAUAAACCCCCGUAGCAAUCUUGCUCGGCUCGCCCUUCUUCCUCCACUCCACUAAUAAGGUAAUCGUAUCCUCCGUCUCCGGCACACAACCCAGCUCCACCGCGACACCCUUCGACGCCAUUGCGGUCACCUUCACCGGUGCAUAAUCCGGCACCAUACUCUCACAGAUAUCCACAUGAUGCGAAUUCAGAUAAUAGGAGAUAUCGCUAUCGCGGCCCGCCCAGGUCUUGAACGUCUCGAGCUGACUUUUGGGCUGGCUCAUGUAGCUGUAAAAGUAGUUGAAAUCGCCCAGGGUGCGUGCCUUGGCGCGUGCAUCGGAGUAAGCUGGAUCGAAGCGUUUGUGGUGCUCGACGAAGACGAAGACGCCGUGCUUGCGCGAUUCGUCGAGGAGGUGGAGAUGGUCUUUCAACAGCUUUGUAGCGGGCUUGGUGAUCAAGACGUGGAUCUUGCGCUGGAUGGCGUACAAGGCGAUGGGAUAAUGGGUGGUGUCGGGGGUGAAGAUUGUGAUUGCGGAACCCUGGGGUAGAGCAUCGAUGGCGGUUUUGUAGGCCUCUGGGUCCACUUGGUCGUCUGCUGGAAAUGAUUGAAAGGAGACAUCUAGGUUGUUAUAAACCUGGGAGAUGUUUUUCUGGAGGUGUUGUUCUGUUCCACGCGUUUUUAGGAGCUGAUUGGUGAACGAUAUUUAUCACCUGAGUUUGAUAUAGAAACAGCUGAAUGAAGGAAUCCAUAUAUGAAAUGUCACUCACUAAUAGCGGG